UACAUAUUCAACCCAAUUUGGACAUUUGAUGACAUCAAAAAAGGAACAAGGGAGGAAAUGAAGAAUGCACACAUUUGGUUCUAGUAGAUUUCCUAAAUGCUGUAUAUCAAAGACUUGCUCUCAGCUAGAGGUGUCGGAGGAAUCCAUUAAAAAUGAACUACGAAGCAGAUUUCCUUCCAUCUACAUCUUUGAUCGGCAAAGUGAGCUUUGGGAUACUUACAGAGAUUCCUGUCACCUUUCUAGUGUGAAAAGCCAACCGCCAUCCUUCUCGUAACAUCACAGCUUUCGAUUAAUAAUGCAUGCAGAGUUCACUGGCUUUUCUAACCAAACAUAGCUGCUGAUUUGAGUGAGAGAGAUGCUGGUGUCCAUUGUGCUGUCUUAACAUCUGCCACCCACCUCAGGAAGAGAAAGACUGUGCUCACGUGCUCUUGCAUAGCUUUUCUCACCCAGAAUGAGACUGUGUUCCUGAUUCUGCUUGCCUUUUGCCCACACUCUGAUGAAGCCUGUUUUCAUGAGAUACAGCCCUGACCAAUGUGUCUACAUGCUUGCUCCCUGCCUGAAGAAGGCAGGCUGGCCAUUGUGACCUAGUGCUGAUGUUUCCUGCCUCAAGGGGAGCAGUCAUCCAUUGUGACAUUGUACUAAUGCUGUCUGUUUGAAUGGGAGGGACCAACCAUUGCAAUCCUGUGCUGAUGCUUCCUACCGUAAGGGGAGGGACCAGCCAAUGUGACCUCAUGCUGAUGAUGCCCACCUGAGGAAAUAAGACAGAGCCUGUUACGAUCUGUGGAGCCUCAUUGCCUUGAUCAUUUGUUUUUCGUCUAAAUUAACAUCCUUGGAUUAUGAAGUAACCAAGACUUUCUCAUAUUGCCAGAAAUGGAGGCUUGGAAUCUAUGUGAAGAUGUGGGAGACAAAGAUGUUGGAUUAUUUUACUUUCUGCCUUUGACAACCGUCGAAAAACUGCAUAUAAAAUAGUUGUCUUCUUUCAA